rnacentral:rRNA from 1 species
GACGGAGGGUGCUAGCGUUGUUCGGAAUCACUGGGCGUAAAGGGCGCGUAGGCGGCUGUGGCAGUCGGGUGUGAAAGCCCGGAGCUCAACUCCGGAAUGGCACUCGAGACGCCACGGCUGGAGGCCGGAAGAGGAGGGUGGAAUACCCAGUGUAGAGGUGAAAUUCGUAGAUAUUGGGUGGAACACCGGUGGCGAAAGCGGCUCUCUGGUCCGGACCUGACGCUGAGGCGCGAAAGCGUGGGGAG